UUGCUAUUUACUAUCAAUUAGUUUACAGUGGCCGAUUCAGAACUUUUUAUAAGGGAGGGGACACUGACUGACCUAAAAGGGGGUGGGAGUUCCUUCCCCAUAUAAUCAACAACUGGGAUCCGCCUAUGUAUGGUUUACUAUACAUAUGUAUAUGUAAGUACCUUUGACUUUUGAUACCUCUCUCUGUAUAGUAAUUAAAGUAUAAAUGCAUGUUCAUAGAGUA
rnacentral:lncRNA from 1 species